UACGUAGGCAGCGAGCGUUGUUCGGAGUUACUGGGCGUAAAGGGUGUGUAGGCGGUUGCUUAAGUUUGGUGUGAAAUCUCCCGGCUCAACCGGGAGGGUGCGCCGAAUACUGAGUGACUAGAGUGCGGGAGAGGAAAGUGGAAUUCCUGGUGUAGCGGUGAAUGACGUAGAUAUCAGGAGGAACACCGGUGGUGUAGACGGCUUUCUGGACCGUAACUGACGCUGAGACACGAAAGCGUGGGUAGCAAACAGG
rnacentral:rRNA from 1 species